rnacentral:rRNA from 1 species
UACGUAGGGUGCGAGCGUUAAUCGGAAUUACUGGGCGUAAAGGGUGCGUAGGCGGAUAUAUAAGUUAGGUGUGAAAUACCCGGGCUCAACCUGGGAGGUGCAUUUAAGACUGUAUAUCUAGAGUUUGUCAGAGGGUGGUAGAAUUCCGAGUGUAGCAGUGAAAUGCGUAGAGAUUCGGAGGAAUACCGAAGGCGAAGGCAGCCACCUGGGAUAAGACUGACGCUGAGGCACGAAAGCGUGGGGAGCAAACAGG